UGUGAGUGAAUGGUGAAAACUGAGACCUGUCGUUAGCAGGACGUCUAGCGUCCUGAUGCUACAACACUCAGCUUUGGAAGUGAAAGGACUCACAUUCAGAAAAACAGCUACUGGAGGAACCGGACUGAGACCAGGACCAGGACCAGGAGCUCAAACUGUGACCCAGACGAACGCCCUGAGUUCCUCCUCUCGUCGUACGUGUGUUCUCUUCAUGCAGGUUCUUGGUAACAGCAGGAAGCUGUGGUUUCCACCACUUAUAACAGGAGGUGCCGCCAUCGACUGAGUCACAAGCCUGAAGUCAUGGCUCUCGCAGCCCUGUGUGCCGUCAUGGCCGCUCUGAGAGUGGUUCCCAACAGAUCCCAGUUCUUCCAGUACGAGUCGGUGUCUCUGGUCUGUGGGCAGUGGAGCGACGUGUCAGAGUGGAGGGUGUGGAGGAACACGUCCACCAGCGUGAAUGAAGCCUGUUUCUGGUCCCGGGACGGAGGCGAUGCCGCCACCUGCCUCAUCACUGACCCGUACCCGUCGGACUCUGGCGCAUACUGGUGCCAGUCCGGAGCAGGGCAGCGGAGCCGCUCAGUGAGCAUCAUCGUGACGGGACGGGCUCCUCCUCCACCAGCUCCUUCUACAAGGACGGCGUCCUGGUGGCGAGCGGCGCCGCGGGGACCCUGA
rnacentral:lncRNA from 1 species